GGAAGUAAAAGUCGUAACAAGGUCUCCGUUGGUGAACCAGCGGAGGGAUCAUUACCGAGUUUACAACUCCCAAACCCAUGUGAACAUACCUACUGUUGCUUCGGCGGGAUUGCCCCGGGCGCCUCGUGUGCCCCGGACCAGGCGCCCGCCUAGGAAACUUAAUUCUUGUUUUAUUUUGGAAUCUUCUGAGUAGUUUUUACAAAUAAAUAAAAACUUUCAACAACGGAUCUCUUGGUUCUGGCAUCGAUGAAGAACGCAGCGAAAUGCGAUAAGUAAUGUGAAUUGCAGAAUUCAGUGAAUCAUCGAAUCUUUGAACGCACAUUGCGCCCGCCAGUAUUCUGGCGGGCAUGCCUGUCUGAGCGUCAUUUCAACCCUCAUGCCCCUAGGGCGUGGUGUUGGGGAUCGGCCAAAGCCCGCGAGGGACGGCCGGCCCCUAAAUCUAGUGGCGGACCCGUCGUGGCCUCCUCUGCGAAGUAGUGAUAUUCCGCAUCGGAGAGCGACGAGCCCCUGCCGUUAAACCCCCAACUUUCCAAGGUUGACCUCAGAUCAGGUAGGAAUACCCGCUGAACUUAAGCAUAU
rnacentral:rRNA from 1 species